rnacentral:rRNA from 1 species
CGGGGUGAGUAAUGUCUGGGAAACUGCUGAUGAGGGGGAGUAACUGCUGGAAACGGUAGCUAAUACCGCAUAACGUCGCAAGACCAAAGAGGGGGACCUUCGGGCCUCUUGCCAUCGGAUGUGCCCAGAUGGGAUUAGCUAGUAGGUGGGGUAACGGCUCACCUAGGCGACGAUCCCUAGCUGGUCUGAGAGGAUGACCAGCCACACUGGAACUGAGACACGGUCCAG